UUAUUAGCACAUUACUUCAGUUUUAUAUUUUUUAUUUUUACAAAUUUUUAAUUCCUCCUAAUUAUUAAUUGUAGACCUUUUUUAUAGAUGUACUUUUCUGUAUCAAUGGCUGUGGAAAAAAAUUCCUUGGGCCUAACAAGAAGAACACCUUGAUACAACAUUUAAGAUAUCAUUGUGGAGUAGAACCAAAAUUUUUAUAAUUCCAAAUGAAAAUUGAAAUGGCUUCUGCUAAUGAUCCAGCUUACUGUCCAAAUGGAUGUGGUCGUUUUUAUAAAGGACUAUAUAGAAAAAGAAAUUUGAGAAAACAUUGUGUAUACGAGUGUGGAGUACCGCCUAAAUUUCGGUGUCAUAUUUGUUCUAGAUCUUUUACUAGAAAUAAUGUAAUGGUAUCUCAUAUGGUGUUUGUUCACAAAAUCAUGCAGCCACCAAAAACAGCAAUUAAUUAAAUUUGAUAUCUGUACUUCUUAAUUAAGUUAAAAACAAAACAAUAUCCAUCGUCGUUUAGACGAGGCUGCGGUUUAUGAUCCAGCUUAUUGUCCAAAUGAAUGCGGCAGAUAUUACAAGGGUCAACACCGAAAGGUGAAUUUGCGUCGGCACAUAUUUGAGUGUGGCGUUUUACCGAGAUUUCCGUGCUUUGUAUGUGAAAAACGAUUUUUCCGCAAGUAUCAACUAAAAAUACACCUGGUUAAUGUGCAUAGAAUGAAUCCAUUCGAUCCAAACAAGUCAAAUGAUGACCUAUCUCCCAAUUCUAAUUCAUUUUAAUA